UACGGGGGGGGCAAGCGUUGUUCGGAAUUACUGGGCGUAAAGGGCUCGUAGGCGGCCAACUAAGUCAGACGUGAACUCCCUCGGCUUAACCGGGGAACUGCGUCUGAUACUGGAUGGCUUGAGUUUGGGAGAGGGAUGCGGAAUUCCAGGUGUAGCGGUGAAAUGCGUAGAUAUCUGGAGGAACACCGGUGGCGAAGGCGGGUCUCUGGGCCGUAACUGACGCUGAGGAGCGAAAGCAUGGGGAGCGAACAGG
rnacentral:rRNA from 1 species